rnacentral:rRNA from 1 species
CAGUCGCCGCGGGAACACGUAGGGUGCGAGCGUUAAUCGGAAUUACUGGGCGUAAAGCGUGCGCAGGCGGUUAUAUAAGACAGAUGUGAAAUCCCCGGGCUCAACCUGGGACCUGCAUUUGUGACUGUAUAGCUAGAGUACGGUAGAGGGGGAUGGAAUUCCGCGUGUAGCAGUGAAAUGCGUAGAGAUGUGGAGGAAUACCGAUGGCGAAGGCAGCCCCCUGGGCCAAUACUGACGCUCAUGCACGAAAGCGUGGGGAGCAAACAGGAUUAGAUACCCGGGUAGUCCCUGUCUCUUAUAC